rnacentral:lncRNA from 1 species
CUCUAUCCUCUCCCAUCCACCUCCCUCCGCACACUCCGCCGCCUCACCUUCUCCCCCUCUCCCUCCCCGCCGCCGCGGUCCCCGCCGCCACGCUGUGGCCCUUCUUCGACGCCGUCUGCUCCGACACCGCCAUCACCUUCGGCUCGCUCGUCGCGCUCCACGAGUACCUUUGAGAAUUCGUCGGUUCGUCCUCACCCUCACUCUCCCUUCCCACCUCUCCCUCACACACGUCGUCUCUGCAGUCUGCACGCUGGAUCUGCUGCCUCCCUACCACCACGCCCAUGCUGACCUCGCCCUCCUCCCCAGCGCGCCCCUACCACCGCCUCCUCCUGAUCGCGCACCUGUCACCGCCUCCACCCGACUCUGCCGCUAAGCGGGCGUCCCACCGGGUCGUGUUCGGCACCAAAGCGACUGGAUGGGCUCGGCCCGGACCCCACUCCCGACCAUGCGCUGCCGCCAGUCGAUGAGCCGGUCAGUCGCCUUGGCGUACCGCUUCCUGCCCGACGCGUCGCGGUUGCCAGACCAGAGCGCCUCCGCCAUGGCCGAGGCUCUCGGCCACACCCGGCCGUGCAUGACGGUCUAUCUCUGCAUCUGAACUGCACUACAACUCUGCAUACAGCCGUAUCACUACCACCUUCACAUAUAUAAUUUUUUUCAGGUUAGAUCAACAAAUAGCUUCACAUUCUGCAGCCCCUGUAGGAGUCCUCAUACUAAAAAUUUUCAGUGAAAUUUAUAAGUCUCACAUAUGUGCAAUGCUGCAUCAGAGUAAGAAUUUACUGCAAAAGUCAGUUGUUCGAGGCAAAAAAUUGACAGUCUUCAUAUGUAGUUUUGAUCAUUGUGAAGAGUAUAUAUUGCAGUCAUUGUACCAUGGCACGGUGCCACGGUCUAUAAUACAGACAAUUAUCAAAAGUGGAGAGACUACAAAUUAAACCCUUCCACCACAUGAUAAAGUUAGAUUAGUAUAGCCCUACAGGAGGCACUAUACGGGAACAUACCAAAGAACUCACAUAAGGACAUGAUCAAAAUAUAGGGCCCGCUGAGGCAUUUAUGCAAACAGACCUCCGUCUAGCAACGGGAACUCCAUAGUUUCAUUGCUAAAAUCUAGAUCAUCAUACCAGUUAUUCUGCAG